UACAGAGGUCCCAAGCGUUGUUCGGAUUCACUGGGCGUAAAGGGUGCGUAGGCGGUCGGGUAAGUCUGAUGUGAAAUCUCACAGCUCAACUGUGAAACUGCAUUGGAUACUAUUCGGCUUGAGGUCUGGAGGGGGGACUGGAAUUCUCGGUGUAGCAGUGAAAUGCGUAGAUAUCGAGAGGAACACCAGUGGCGAAGGCGAGUCCCUGGACAACACCUGACACUGAGGCACGAAAGCUAGGGGAGCAAACAGG
rnacentral:rRNA from 1 species